rnacentral:lncRNA from 1 species
CAUAUCUAGUGAUGAGCUACUGAGAUACACUGGAUGCUUCAGUCUCACAGGAACUAAAUGCAAUGGGUAAUGUGGAGAGAAUGAAAUGAAAUUUCCUUGGGUAUAAGUUUAGCCCUGUUUUUUAAGUGGUUGGUAAUUACUCUUUUUCAUAUUUUCCUUGAUAUCUAGCAGGUGGCACACAGAAUGAAAGUGAGGAACAAGGACUCACAGGUUUUGCAGGAGGUAGCUUUGAUUCAUCAAGGCCAAUACAAGCUUUGAUUUGGAGCAGGAGGAGGUCUACAAAUACAAGAGGUGUCACCUGGCCCUUAAUGAAGACCUUCUGAUCCAGAGAUCAAGCCAAGACCCUUCUUGCUUGAAGUGAAAAACCUCCACUAUCAGUUGAGCAACCUACUCCUAAAGCAUGCGGCCAAGUUAGAAGCUUGGAAAGAAAGAGGAAGAUUUUAAGACAAUCUGCUAAUACCUGCUGGUUACCAGAAAUUCCCCUGGUCUUCACAACGUGGCCUGUCUUUCUAUCAACGACUGCACAGAUGGCAAAAGUAAGUAAUUAUAUUAUGUUGAAGCUGUGGGCAUUAUCAAUUCAGUGUAUGGCUAUUUCCAAGUGACAUACCCAGGCCUAAAUGUUCUAGAAAACAGCAGUUAA